rnacentral:lncRNA from 1 species
GAGUCAGCUGCCACCUAAGACUUGUGACCACCUUGAAGCCACUGAGCUGAGAAGCCCAAGCAUGUAGCGACGGGGCUCCAGGAGCACUGAGGUGGCGAAGGCCAGAACAAGGAAGGCAAUGGAAUCGUAUCAUCCAUCUUCGCCCUGGCGAUGCCAUGUAGGUCCUAGCUGAACUAUUCAGCAAAGAUUUCCCCAAAUUCCCUUCCACAAAAUCAUGAGUAGAAUAAGACAGCUGUUUGGAGCCCUCAAAUUCCACGUCCAGUUUGGUAGGCAGCAAUAGCUAACCAGAGCAAUGUACAGAGCUCAUGGCAGGUGUUUAUCUGUGGUUCUGAUGUCUGGACUCCCAUCCUGUGUGAGAAACGCCUGUGCAUUAAUAAAGAAGCACAUCCAUUCCACUAUCACAACCUACUUUUUUAUCAUUUUGAUAACAGAAUUAGAUUUAAUUGCCUCCUUUUGUAACACUGAGUAUUUUAUUGUACACAGUUGAAAACCUUGCGCCAAGCUACUAUUCACGAGAUUUCAUAAAAACAUCCAGAAGACCACGUGGCAAAAGAGAACAAGAGCAAAGAAGAGUUUGAGAAUCCCUGCUAGGGGAAGUUGGAGCCAUUGACCAGAAGAGCCUUGUUCCUGAGUAACUGCAGGAAGCCGGGUCCCACCCCUGCUCACCUCCCAGGCUUGGAGUGGAGCAGGGUGUGAGUUUACAAUGAAUGUGUUACACCACUGUGCUUUGGGCUUCAUUUAGCCACUCCUCCUGGUGUAGCGUGCAAUGACAGGAGGGCACAUUUACACUCAGGAAAAGGAAACCUACCAAUGCGAAAGGAUAGAGCGGGAGUUAACCAGGCUGACGUAAGAAGACGCAGGCUCCGAAGGCGGCGGGUUGGGACCUGUCUCACAGACGCCUGGGCCAGGCCCUUCUGCUGUGGCUCCCUCCUUGCAGGCACCCUGCUUCCUCUGAUGCAGACUGGGGCUCCUCGGCUGCUCUUUGCCGCUGACACUUUGCCCCUGAUGGCGUCUUCCACAUCUGCUGAGGGACUCGGCUGCUCAGCUCUGACCUGCUGCCUCCUAGCACUAGCAUCUGCGCGCCCCGCCCCCCGGCACUGCUUGAAUCAUAGAACACACGUGUUCGGCAUUUCCAGUGACAUUCACAAGAGCAAUGGUCAAAAAAUAACAGUAAAAUGUAAUGAGGACAAAACUUCAAAAGGAAAAGCACACAUGCGAACUUUAGAGAACUAAUUCCCUGUAAACUUACCUAAAAAUACUCUCAGGUUCAUCGCAGACAAGGAGCUCAUUGUGACUCAGCUGAACAAUGCAAACGAUACGUUUUGAUUUUGGUGAGUGUGGAGGGCUUUGUUGUUUUUUCAAGUCUAACUCCAGGAGUUGUUAGCAGAAGCACGACAGGGAGAAAC